rnacentral:rRNA from 1 species
CGGAUUUAUUUGGGUUUAAAGGGUCCCGUAGGCGGAUCUGUAAGUCAGUGGUGAAAUCUCACAGCUUAACUGUGAAACUGCCAUUGAUACUGCAGGUCUUGAGUGUUGUUGAAGUAGAUGGAAUAAGUAGUGUAGCGGUGAAAUGCAUAGAUAUUACUUAGAACACCAAUUGCGAAGGCAGGUUACUAAGCAACAACUGACGCUGAUGGACGAAAGCGUGGGGAGCGAACAGGAUUAGAUACCCUGGUAGUCCACGCCGUAAACGAUGCUAACUCGUUUUUGGAGCGCAAGCUUCAGAGACUAAGCGAAAGUGAUAAGUUAGCCACCUGGGGAGUACGAACGCAAGUUUGAAACUCAAAGGAAUUGACGGGGGCCCGCACAAGCGGUGGAUUAUGUGGUUUAAUUCGAUGAUACGCGAGGAACCUUACCAAGGCUUAAAUGGGAAAUGACAGGUUUAGAAAUAGACUUUUCUUCGGACAUUUUUCAAGGUGCUGCAUGGUUGUCGUCAGCUCGUGCCGUGAGGUGUUAGGUUAAGUCCUGCAACGAGCGCAACCCCUGUCACUAGUUGCCAUCAUUAAGUUGGGGACUCUAGUGAGACUGCCUACGCAAGUAGAGAGGAAGGUGGGGAUGACGUCAAAUCAUCACGGCCCUUACGCCUUGGGCCACACACGUAAUACAAUGGCCGGUACAGAGGGCAGCUACACUGCGAAGUGAUGCAAAUCUCGAAAGCCGGUCUCAGUUCGGAUUGGAGUCUGCAACUCGACUCUAUGAAGCUGGAAUCGCUAGUAAUCGCGCAUCAGCCAUGGCGCGGUGAAUAACGUUCCCGGGCCUUGUACACACCGCCCGUCAAGCCAUGGAAGUCUGAGGUACCUGAAGUCGGUGACCGUAACAGGAGCUGCCUAGGGUAAAACAGGUAACUAGGCUA